AAAUGCGAUAAGUAAUGUGCAUUGCAGAAUUCAGUGAAUCAUCGAAUCUUUGAACGCACCUUGCGCUCCUUGGUAUUCCUUGGAGCAUGCCUGUUUGAGUAUCAUGAAAUCUUCAAAGUAAAUCUUUUGUUAACUCAAUUGGUUUCUACUUUGGUAUUGGAGGUCUUUGCAGCUUCACACCUGCUCCUCUUUGUUCAUUAGCUGGAUCUCAGUGUUAUGCUUGGUUCCACUCGGCGUGAUAAGUUAUCUAUCGCUGAGGACACUGUAAAAGGUGGCCAAGGUAAAUGCUGAUGAACCGCUUCUAAUAGUCCAUUGACUUGGACAAUACUUUUAUGAUCUGAUCUCAAAUCAGGUAGGACUACCCGCUGAACUUAAGC
rnacentral:misc_RNA from 1 species